GCCAAUAGCCAUAUCACCCUGCAGCCCAAGACCAGUUACUCACUGAAGCUAAGCAGGGCUGAGCCUGGUCAGUAACAUGAUGGGAGGACACAUGGGAAAGCUAGGUUGCUGUUGGAG
ensembl:rRNA 5S_rRNA 5S ribosomal RNA